AAGCAAUUUAUACAGUGAACUCGAAUGGCUCAUUAAAUCAGUUAUCGUUUAUUUGAUAGUACCUUUACUACUUGGAAUAACCGUGGUAAUUCUAGAGCUAAUACAUGCUACAAAAUCCCGACUGUUUGGAAGGGAUGUAUUUAUUAGAUAAAAAAUCAAUGCUCUUUGAGCUCUUUAGAUGAUUCAUAAUAACUUUUCGAAUCGCAUGGCCUUGUGCUGGCGAUGGUUCAUUCAAAUUUCUGCCCUAUCAACUUUCGAUGGUAGGAUAGUGGCCUACCAUGGUUUCAACGGGUAACGGGGAAUAAGGGUUCGAUUCCGGANNNNNNNNNNNAGAAACGGCUACCACAUCCAAGGAAGGCAGCAGGCGCGCAAAUUACCCAAUCCCGACACAGGGGAGGUAGUGACAAUACAUAACGAUACAGGGCCCUUUCGGGUCUUGUAAUUGGAAUGAGUACAAUGUAAAUACCUUAACGAGGAACAAUUGGAGGGCAAGUCUGGUGCCACCAGCCGCGGUAAUUCCAGCUCCAAUAGCGUAUAUUAAAGUUGUUGCAGUUAAAAAGCUCGUAGUUGAACUUUGGGCUUGGUUGGCCGGUCCGCCUUUUUGGCGAGUACUGGACCCAACCGAGCCUUUCCUUCUGGCUAACCAUUCGCCCUUGUGGUGUUUGGCGAACCAGGACUUUUACUUUGAAAAAAUUAGAGUGUUCAAAGCAGGCACUUUGCUCGAAUAUAUUAGCAUGGAAUAAUAGAAUAGGACGUUAUGGUUCUAUUUUGUUGGUUUCUAGGACCAUCGUAAUGAUUAAUAGGGACGGUCGGGGGCAUCAGUAUUCAGUUGUCAGAGGUGAAAUUCUUAGAUUUACUGAAGACUAACUACUGCGAAAGCAUUUGCCAAGGACGUUUUCAUUAAUCAAGAACGAAAGUUAGGGGAUCGAAGAUGAUCAGAUACCGUCGUAGUCUUAACCAUAAACUAUGCCGACUAGGGAUCGGGUGUUGUUCUUUUUUUGACGCACUCGGCACCUUACGAGAAAUCAAAGUCUUUGGGUUCA
rnacentral:rRNA from 1 species